GCAGGCCGCAGCCCAUCUGUGGGCGGCGGUGCGCAUCGUUGCCGUCGCCGACAUCAUCAUGAGCCUCGACAACGUCAUCGCGGUUGCUGCCGCAGCCAAUGGCAGCGCCCGGCCUCGUCAUCAGCAUUCCGAUGAUCAUCGCCGGUGCCGCGCUGAUCAUGGCGCUGCUGGAUCGCGUGCCGGCCCUGGUCUGGCUCGGCGCCGCACUGCUCGGCUGGAUCGCGGGAGAGGUGAUUGCCACCGACCCCGU
rnacentral:misc_RNA from 1 species